rnacentral:misc_RNA from 1 species
AUACGGGGUGAGCGCGGCGUGGCCGAGCAGGCAUUUGUGCCUCAACACAAGAACGGCUUUUCGAAGCAGUAACCUGUAUAGUAUACAACUUUCAACAACGGAUCUCUUGGUUCUCGCAUCGAUGAAGAGCGCAGCGAAAUGCGAUACGUAAUGUGAAUCGCCGUGGAUCAUCGAGUUCUUGAACGCACAUUGCACUGCGGAGUAUGCUCCGCAGUAGGGAGGCCUGAGUGGGGGAGCAAUUUGUAGCUGGACGAAGGAUUCGGCCGAAAGCGCAGAUAUAAAGUAGCGGCUCCCCUCAG